rnacentral:rRNA from 1 species
AUACGUAGGUGGCGAGCGUUGUCCGGAAUUACUGGGCGUAAAGGAUGCGUAGGUGGAUAUUUAAGUGGGAUGUGAAAUCCCCGGGCUCAACCCGGGAACUGCAUUCCAAACUGGGUAUCUAGAGUGCAGGAGAGGAAAGCGGAAUUCCUAGUGUAGCGGUGAAAUGCGUAGAUAUUAGGAGGAACACCAGUGGCGAAGGCGGUUUUCUGGACUGUACCUGACACUGAGGCAGGAAAGCGUGGGUAGCAAACAGGAUUAGAUACCCUGGUAGUCCCCGCCGUAAACGAUGGGUACUAGGUGUAGGAGGUAUCGCCCCCUCCUGUGCCGUCGUUAACACAAUAAGUACCCCGCCUGGGGAGUACGGUCGCAAGACUAAAACUCAAAGGAAUUGACGGGG